rnacentral:rRNA from 1 species
GAUGAACGCUGGCGGCGUGCCUAAUACAUGCAAGUCGAGCGAACAGGCGAGGAGCUUGCUCCUCUGACGUUAGCGGCGGACGGGUGAGUAACACGUGGAUAACCUACCUAUAAGACUGGGAUAACUUCGGGGAACCGGAGCUAAUACCGGAUAAUAUAUUGAACCGCAUGGUUCAAUAGUGAAAGACGGUUUUGCUGUCACUUAUAGAUGGAUCCGCGCCGCAUUAGCUAGUUGGUAAGGUAACGGCUUACCAAGGCAACGAUGCGUAGCCGACCUGAGAGGGUGAUCGGCCACACUGGAACUGAGACACGGUCCAGACUCCUACGGGAGGCAGCAGUAGGGAAUCUUCCGCAAUGGGCGAAAGCCUGACGGAGCAACGCCGCGUGAGUGAUGAAGGUCUUCGGAUCGUAAAACUCUGUUAUUAGGGAAGAACAAAUGUGUAAGUAACUAUGCACGUCUUGACGGUACCUAAUCAGAAAGCCACGGCUAACUACGUG